rnacentral:rRNA from 1 species
UACGUAGGAUGCAAGCGUUGUCCGAAAUUAUUGGGCGUAAAGAGCGCGCAGGCGGUAUGACAAGUCAGAUGUGAAAGAGGCCGGCUUAACCGGCAAGGGUCAUUUGAAACUGUCAGACUAGAGUGCAGCAGAGGAUAGUGGAAUUCCCGGUGUAGUGGUGAAAUGCGUAGAUAUCGGGAGGAACACCAGUGGCGAAGGCGGCCAACUGGUCCGAUACUGACGCUGAGGCGCGAAAGCGUGGGGAGCAACAGG